rnacentral:piRNA from 1 species
GACUGGAUGGAUGAUUCUAUGGC